GUGCUUACUCCAGCAGUACAUACUGUAAAACUAGCCCAAUACAAAGAAGACUGGCAUGGCCCCUAAACACGCAAACCUGUAAAGCAUUCCACAGUUUA
ensembl:snRNA U6 U6 spliceosomal RNA